rnacentral:rRNA from 1 species
UACGUAGGGGGCGAGCGUUGUCCGGAAUCAUUGGGCGUAAAGGGCGUGUAGGCGGCCCUGUAAGUCGGAUGUGAAAUCCCGAAGCUCAACUUCGGAACUGCACCCGAUACUGCAGGGCUUGAGGUAGGUAGAGGAGAGUGGAAUUCCCGGUGUAGCGGUGGAAUGCGCAGAUAUCAGGAAGAACACCCGUGGCGAAAGCGGCUCUCUGGAACGGUACUGACGCUGAGACGCGAAAGCGUGGGGAGCGAACAGG